rnacentral:rRNA from 1 species
UACGAAGGGGGCUAGCGUUGUUCGGAAUUACUGGGCGUAAAGCGCACGUAGGCGGAUUGCUAAGUCAGGGGUGAAAUCCUGGAGCUCAACUCCAGAACUGCCUUUGAUACUGGCGAUCUCGAGUCCGGGAGAGGUGAGUGGAACUGCGAGUGUAGAGGUGAAAUUCGUAGAUAUUCGCAAGAACACCAGUGGCGAAGGCGGCUCACUGGCCCGAUACUGACGCUGAGGCACGAAAGCGUGGGGAGCAAACAGG